rnacentral:rRNA from 1 species
UAGCAUGAGAAACGGCUACCACAUCUAAAGAAGGCAGCAGGCGCGUAAAUUACCCAAUCCUGACUCAGGGAGGUAGUGACAAGAAAUAGCAAACCGGGAACCUCAUGGUUUCACGGUAUUGCAAUGAGAACAAUUUAAAACCCUUAGCGAGAUUCAAGUGGAGGACAAGUCUGGUGCCAGCACCCGCGGUAAUUCCAGCUCCACUAGCGUAUAUUAAAGUUGUUGCAGUUAAAAAGCUCGUAGUUGAACCUCUGUCUGGGGCUAGUUUUGGCUUUGGUCAGGCUAGUUCUAGGCAUCCGCCUACAAGACUUAGAGGGCAUUCAGUUGUUCACUAGGAGGAGUAGGCAUUUUACUUUGAAAAAAUUAGAGUGUUUAAGGCAGGCAAUCGCCCGCAUAUAUUAGCAUGGAAUAAUAGAAUAGGACACUUUUCCAUUUCGUUGGUUAUUGGAAUCGUGUAAUGAUUAAUAGGGACAGUUGUGGGCAUUUGUAUUUAAUUGUCAGAGGUGAAAUUCUUGGAUUUAUUAAAGACAAACUAACGCGAAAGCAUUUGCCAAGGAUGUUUUCAUUAAUCAAGAACGAAAGUUAGGGGAUCAAAGACGAUCAGAUACCGUCCUAGUCUUAACUAUAAACUAUUCCGACUCAAUGUUUGACUGGCUUAUAUAACCAGUUGAGCGUUGUAUGAGAAAUCAAAGUCUUUAGGUUCUGGGGGGAGUAUGGUUGCAAAGCUGAAACUUAAAGGAAUUGACGGAAGAGCACAACCAGGAGUGGAUUCUGCGGCUUAAUUUGACUCAACACGGGGAAACUUACCAGGUUAAAACAAUAGUGGGAUUGACAGUUUGAGAGCGCUUUCUUGAUUGGUUGGGUGGUGGUGCAUGGCCGUUCUUAGUUGGUGGAGUGAUUUGUCUGCUUAAUUGCGUUAACGAACGAGACCUUAACCUGCUUACUAGACUGGCGAUCAUCAAUCGUUAGCUCUUCUUAGAGGGACUUUGGUUGUUUUAACUCCAAGGAAGUUUGAGGCAAUAACAGGUCUGUGAUGCCCUUAGAUAUCCUGGGCCGCACGCGUCAUACAAUGACUAGUUCAGAAAGUUUUCUCCUGACCCGAAAGGGGAUGGGUAAUCUUGAUAAUACUAGUCGUGUUAGGGAUCGAUCUUUGCAAUUAUAGAUCUUGAACGAGGAAUUCCUAGUAAGUGCGGUUCAUCAGACCGUACUGAUUACGUCCCUGCUCUUUGUACACACCGCCCGUCGCUUCUACCGAGUGGGUGGUCCGGUGAGAUAAUUGAACUUCGCAGGUAACUGAGAGGAAAGAUUAUCAAACCUAUCCACCUCGAGGAAGAAGAAGUCGUAACAAGGUU